AGGGGGGAAGGAAGAGUAGCUCCUUCUUCUUCUUCUUUUUUUUUUCUUCCACUCUUAAAAAGCUUCUUUCUCUUCACCCAAGCCUCACUGUCCCUCUCCGGCUCUAGCUCUCUCCAUAUAAACCCUCAAGAUUAUGUCAAUUGGUUAGAGCCAGCCGGGAAUUUCGUGCGGGUGCUGAAGGAGCUGCGGGAGCCGGAGAAGAAUGAAACUGCGUGGAGUCAGCCUGGCUGCCGGCUUGUUCUUACUGGCCCUGAGUCUUUGGGGGCAGCCUGCAGAGGCUGCGGCUUGCUAUGGGUGUUCUCCAGGAUCAAAGUGUGACUGCAGUGGCAUAAAAGGGGAAAAGGGAGAGAGAGGGUUUCCAGGUUUGGAAGGACACCCAGGAUUGCCUGGAUUUCCAGGUCCAGAAGGGCCUCCGGGGCCUCGGGGACAAAAGGGUGAUGAUGGAAUUCCAGGGCCACCAGGACCAAAAGGAAUCAGAGGUCCUCCUGGACUUCCUGGAUUUCCAGGGACACCAGGUCUUCCUGGAAUGCCAGGCCACGAUGGGGCCCCAGGACCUCAAGGUAUUCCCGGAUGCAAUGGAACCAAGGGAGAACGUGGAUUUCCAGGCAGUCCCGGUUUUCCUGGUUUACAGGGUCCUCCAGGACCCCCUGGGAUCCCAGGUAUGAAGGGUGAACCAGGUAGUAUAAUUAUGUCAUCACUGCCAGGACCAAAGGGUAAUCCAGGAUAUCCAGGUCCUCCUGGAAUACAAGGCCUACCUGGUCCCACUGGUAUACCAGGGCCAAUUGGUCCCCCAGGACCACCAGGUUUGAUGGGCCCUCCUGGUCCACCAGGACUUCCAGGACCUAAGGGGAAUAUGGGCUUAAAUUUCCAGGGACCCAAAGGUGAAAAAGGUGAGCAAGGUCUUCAGGGCCCACCUGGGCCACCUGGGCAGAUCAGUGAACAGAAAAGACCAAUUGAUGUAGAGUUUCAGAAAGGAGAUCAGGGACUUCCUGGUGACCGAGGGCCUCCUGGACCUCCAGGGAUACGUGGUCCUCCAGGUCCCCCAGGUGGUGAGAAAGGUGAGAAGGGUGAGCAAGGAGAGCCAGGCAAAAGAGGUAAACCAGGCAAAGAUGGAGAAAAUGGCCAACCAGGAAUUCCUGGUUUGCCUGGUGAUCCUGGUUACCCUGGUGAACCCGGAAGGGAUGGUGAAAAGGGCCAAAAAGGUGACACUGGCCCACCUGGACCUCCUGGACUUGUAAUUCCUAGACCUGGGACUGGUAUAACUAUAGGAGAAAAAGGAAACAUUGGGUUGCCUGGGUUGCCUGGAGAAAAAGGAGAGCGAGGAUUUCCUGGAAUACAGGGUCCACCUGGCCUUCCUGGACCUCCAGGGGCUGCAGUUAUGGGUCCUCCUGGCCCUCCUGGAUUUCCUGGAGAAAGGGGUCAGAAAGGUGAUGAAGGACCACCUGGAAUUUCCAUUCCUGGACCUCCUGGACUUGACGGACAGCCUGGGGCUCCUGGGCUUCCAGGGCCUCCUGGCCCUGCUGGCCCUCACAUUCCUCCUAGUGAUGAGAUAUGUGAACCAGGCCCUCCAGGCCCCCCAGGAUCUCCAGGUGAUAAAGGACUCCAAGGAGAACAAGGAGUGAAAGGUGACAAAGGUGACACUUGCUUCAACUGCAUUGGAACUGGUAUUUCAGGGCCUCCAGGUCAACCUGGUUUGCCAGGUCUCCCAGGUCCUCCAGGAUCUCUUGGUUUCCCUGGACAGAAAGGGGAAAAAGGACAAGCUGGUGCAACUGGUCCCAAAGGAUUACCAGGCAUUCCAGGAGCUCCAGGUGCUCCAGGCUUUCCUGGAUCUAAAGGUGAACCUGGUGAUAUCCUCACUUUUCCAGGAAUGAAGGGUGACAAAGGAGAGUUGGGUUCCCCUGGAGCUCCAGGGCUUCCUGGUUUACCUGGCACUCCUGGACAGGAUGGAUUGCCAGGGCUUCCUGGCCCGAAAGGAGAGCCUGGUGGAAUUACUUUUAAGGGUGAAAGAGGUCCCCCUGGGAACCCAGGUUUACCAGGCCUCCCAGGGAAUAUAGGGCCUAUGGGUCCCCCUGGUUUCGGCCCUCCAGGCCCAGUAGGUGAAAAAGGCAUACAAGGUGUGGCAGGAAAUCCAGGCCAGCCAGGAAUACCAGGUCCUAAAGGGGAUCCAGGUCAGACUAUAACCCAGCCGGGGAAGCCUGGCUUGCCUGGUAACCCAGGCAGAGAUGGUGAUGUAGGUCUUCCAGGUGACCCUGGACUUCCAGGGCAACCAGGCUUGCCAGGGAUACCUGGUAGCAAAGGAGAACCAGGUAUCCCUGGAAUUGGGCUUCCUGGACCACCUGGUCCCAAAGGCUUUCCUGGAAUUCCAGGACCUCCAGGAGCACCUGGGACACCUGGAAGAAUUGGUCUAGAAGGCCCUCCUGGGCCACCCGGCUUUCCAGGACCAAAGGGUGAACCAGGAUUUGCAUUACCUGGGCCACCUGGGCCACCAGGACUUCCAGGUUUCAAAGGAGCACUUGGUCCAAAAGGUGAUCGUGGUUUCCCAGGACCUCCGGGUCCUCCAGGACGCACUGGCUUAGAUGGGCUCCCUGGACCAAAAGGUGAUGUUGGACCAAAUGGACAACCUGGACCAAUGGGACCUCCUGGGCUGCCAGGAAUAGGUGUUCAGGGACCACCAGGACCACCAGGGAUUCCUGGGCCAAUAGGUCAACCUGGUUUACAUGGAAUACCAGGAGAGAAGGGGGAUCCAGGACCUCCUGGACUUGAUGUUCCAGGACCCCCAGGUGAAAGAGGCAGUCCAGGGAUCCCCGGAGCACCUGGUCCUAUAGGACCUCCAGGAUCACCAGGGCUUCCAGGAAAAGCAGGUGCCUCUGGAUUUCCAGGUACCAAAGGUGAAAUGGGUAUGAUGGGACCUCCAGGCCCACCAGGACCUUUGG
rnacentral:lncRNA from 1 species